ANGGCAUNAGCAAUCAUUGGGUUAGAUCUGCCCUUAUCGCAAGAUGAGGGCUUCCAUAUACACCGUGAACUGUGGCUUCGGCCAUCACAAACUGUUAGUAAUGAAUGUAAUAUCAUAACAAAAACAAAACUUUUAACAACGGAUCUCUUGGCUCUCGCAUCGAUGAAGAACGCAGCGAAAUGCGAUAAGUAAUGUGAAUUGCAGAAUUCAGUGAAUCAUCGAAUCUUUGAACGCACCUUGCGCCCUUUGGUAUUCCGAAGGGCAUGCCUGUUUGAGUGUCAUGAAACCUCACCCCACUUAGGUUUUUGCCUAAGCGGUGGUGUAUUGGGUGUUUGCCUUGCUAAAGGCUCGCCUUAAAGAUAUAAGCACCUUGGAUGUAAUACGUUUCAUCCUUCUGGGUGGCUGAUAACCCCACAUAUUCAUGAUCUGGCCUCAAAUCAGGUAGGGCUACCCGCUGAACUUAAGCAUAUCAAUAAGCGGAGGAA
rnacentral:rRNA from 1 species